GUUGGGUAGGGGAGCGUUCUGUAAGCCUGCGAAGGUGGCCUGUGAGGGUUGCUGGAGGUAUCAGAAGUGCGAAUGCUGACAUAAGUAACGAUAAAGCGGGUGAAAAGCCCGCUCGCCGGAAGACCAAGGGUUCCUGUCCAACGUUAAUCGGGGCAGGGUGAGUCGACCCCUAAGGCGAGGCCGAAAGGCGUAGUCGAUGGGAAACGGGUUAAUAUUCCCGUACUUGGUGUUACUGCGAAGGGGGGACGGAGAAGGCUAUGUUGGCCGGGCGACGGUUGUCCCGGUUUAAGCGUGUAGGUGUGUGUUCCAGGUAAAUCCGGUUCACUUUAACACUGAGGCGUGAUGACGAGGCACUACGGUGCUGAAGCAACAAAUGCCCUGCUUCCAGGAAAAGCCUCUAAGCAUCAGGUAACAUCAAAUCGUACCCCAAACCGACACAGGUGGUCAGGUAGAGAAUACCAAGGCGCUUGAGAGAACUCGGGUGAAGGAACUAGGCAAAAUGGUGCCGUAACUUCGGGAGAAGGCACGCUGACACGUAGGUGAAGUGAUUUACUCAUGGAGCUGAAGUCAGUCGAAGAUACCAGCUGGCUGCAACUGUUUAUUAAAAACACAGCACUGUGCAAACACGAAAGUGGACGUAUACGGUGUGACGCCUGCCCGGUGCCGGAAGGUUAAUUGAUGGGGUCAGCGCAAGCGAAGCUCCUGAUCGAAGCCCCGGUAAACGGCGGCCGUAACUAUAACGGUCCUAAGGUAGCGAAAUUCCUUGUCGGGUAAGUUCCGACCUGCACGAAUGGCGUAAUGAUGGCCAGGCUGUCUCCACCCGAGACUCAGUGAAAUUGAACUCGCUGUGAAGAUGCAGUGUACCCGCGGCAAGACGGAAAGACCCCGUGAACCUUUACUAUAGCUUGACACUGAACAUUGAGCCUUGAUGUGUAGGAUAGGUGGGAGGCUUUGAAGCGUGGACGCCAGUCUGCGUGGAGCCGACCUUGAAAUACCACCCUUUAAUGUUUGAUGUUCUAACGUGGACCCGUAAUCCGGGUUGCGGACAGUGUCUGGUGGGUAGUUUGACUGGGGCGGUCUCCUCCUAAAGAGUAACGGAGGAGCACGAAGGUUGGCUAAUCCUGGUCGGACAUCAGGAGGUUAGUGCAAUGGCAUAAGCCAGCUUGACUGCGAGCGUGACGGCGCGAGCAGGUGCGAAAGCAGGUCAUAGUGAUCCGGUGGUUCUGAAUGGAAGGGCCAUCGCUCAACGGAUAAAAGGUACUCCGGGGAUAACAGGCUGAUACCGCCCAAGAGUUCAUAUCGACGGCGGUGUUUGGCACCUCGAUGUCGGCUCAUCACAUCCUGGGGCUGAAGUAGGUCCCAAGGGUAUGGCUGUUCGCCAUUUAAAGUGGUACGCGAGCUGGGUUUAGAACGUCGUGAGACAGUUCGGUCCCUAUCUGCCGUGGGCGCUGGAGAACUGAGGGGGGCUGCUCCUAGUACGAGAGGACCGGAGUGGACGCAUCACUGGUGUUCGGGUUGUCAUGCCAAUGGCACUGCCCGGUAGCUAAAUGCGGAAGAGAUAAGUGCUGAAAGCAUCUAAGCACGAAACUUGCCCCGAGAUGAGUUCUCCCUGAGACUUAGAGUCUCCUGAAGGAACGUUGAAGACGACGACGUUGAUAGGCCGGGUGUGUAAGCGCAGCGAUGCGUUGAGCUAACCGGUACUAAUGAACCGUGAGGCUUAACCUUACAACGCCGAAG
rnacentral:rRNA from 1 species